GAUGAACGCUAGCGAUAGGCUUAACACAUGCAAGUCGAGGGGCAGCAUGGUCUUAGCUUGCUGAGACUGAUGGCGACCGGCGCACGGGUGCGUAACGCGUAUGCAACUUGCCUCACAGAGGGGGAUAACCCGUCGAAAGACGGACUAAUACCGCGUACACUCCAUCUUGGGCAUCCAAGGUAGAGGAAAUGAAAUUCGCUGUGAGAUAGGCAUGCGUCCCAUUAGCUAGUUGGUGAGGUAACGGCUCACCAAGGCGACGAUGGGUAGGGGAACUGAGAGGUUGAACCCCCACACUGGUACUGAGACACGGACCAGACUCCUACGGGAGGCAGCAGUGAGGAAUAUUGGUCAAUGGGCGAGAGCCUGAACCAGCCAAGUCGCGUGAAGGAUGACUGUCUUAUGGAUUGUAAACUUCUUUUAUACGGGAAUAACAAGAGUCACGUGUGACUCCCUGCAUGUACCGUAUGAAUAAGCAUCGGCUAACUCCGUGCCAGCAGCCGCGGUAAUACGGAGGAUGCGAGCGUUAUCCGGAUUUAUUGGGUUUAAAGGGUGCGUAGGCGGCCUGUUAAGUCAGCGGUGAAAUCUAGGAGCUUAACUCCUAAAUUGCCAUUGAUACUGGCGGGCUUGAGUGUAGAUGAGGUAGGCGGAAUGCGUGGUGUAGCGGUGGAAUGCAUAGAUAUCACGCAGAACUCCGAUUGCGAAGGCAGCUUACUAAGGUACAACUGACGCUGAAGCACGAAAGCGUGGGUAUCAAACAGG
rnacentral:rRNA from 1 species